rnacentral:siRNA from 1 species
UAAAAGCGAAUAAUUCGGCACGGA